rnacentral:piRNA from 1 species
GUGAGUGGCAAGAGCAGC